GACCUACUCCCUCCGUUCGGAAUUACUUGUCUCGAAAAUGGAUGUAUCUAGAACUAAAAUACAUCUAGAUACAUCUAUUUUGACGAUAAGUAAUUUCGAACGGAAGGAGUAAUUC
rfam:Triticum aestivum genome assembly, contig: Triticum_aestivum_CS42_TGACv1_scaffold_131632_2BL